GUCAGGAUGGCCGAGCGGUCUAAGGCGCUGCGUUAGGUCACAGUCCAGUUCUCUGGGCGAGGGUUCGAAUCCCUCUUCUGACA
rnacentral:tRNA from 1 species